rnacentral:rRNA from 1 species
GAUGAACGCUGGCGGCGUGCCUAACACAUGCAAGUCGAGCGAACGGACGAGAAGCUUGCGCCCCUGAUGUUAGCGGCGGACGGGUGAGUAACACGUGGAUAACCUACCUAUAAGACUGGGAUAAUUUCGGGAAACCGGAUCUACUACCGGAUAAUAUUUUGAACCGCAUGGUUCAAAAGUGAAAGACGGUCUUGCUGUCACUUAUAGACGGAUCCGCGCUGCAUUAGUUAGUUGGUAAGGUAACGGCUUACCAAGGCAACGAUGCAUAGCCGACCUGAGAGGGUGAUCGGCCACACUGGAACUGAGACACGGUCCAGACUCCUACGGGAGGCAGCAGUAGGGAAUCUUCCGCAAUGGGCGAAAGCCUGACGGAGCAACGCCGCGUGAGUGAUGAGGGUCUUCGGAUCGUAAAACUCUGUUAUUAGGGAAGAACAUAUGUGUAAGUAACUGUGCACAUCUUGACGGUACCUAAUCAAAAAGCCACGGCUAACUACGUG